rnacentral:lncRNA from 13 species
CAUGCAUGCACACACACACCCUCUCUCUCUCUCUCUCUCUCACAUGCACACACACACACCCUCUCUCUCUCACAUGCACACACACACACCCUCUCUCUCUCACAUGCACACACACACCCUCUCUCUCUCACAUGCACACAGACACCCUCUCUGUCUCACAUGCACACACACACCCUGUCUCACAUGCACACACACACCCUCUGUCUCACAUGCACACACACACCCUCACAUGCACACACACACCCUGUCUCACAUGCACACACACACCCUGUCUCACAUGCACACACACACCCUCUGUCUCACAUGCACACACAAACUCUGUCUCAAAUGCACACACACACCGUCUCACAUGCACACACACCGUCUCACAUGCACACACACCCUUUGUCUCACAUGCACACACACACCCUGUCUCACAUGCACACACACACCCUCUCUCUCACAUGCACACACACACCCUCUCUCACAUGCACACACACCUGUCUCACAUGCACACACACACCCUCUCUCUCACAUGCACACACACCCUGUCUCACAUGCACACACAUACCCUCUGUCUCACAUGCACACACACACCCUCUCUCUCUCACAUGCACACACACACACCCUCUCACAUGCACACACACACCCUCUGUCUCACAUGCACACACACACCCUCUGUCUCAAAUGCACACACACACCCUCUGUCUCACAUGCACACACUGUCUCACAUGCACACACACACCCUGUCUCUGUCUCACAUGCACACACACACCGUUCUGUCUCACAUGCACACACACACCCUGUGUCACAUGCACACACACACACCCUCUGUCUCACAUGCACACACACACCCUCUCUCUGUCUCACAUGCACACACCGUCUCACAUGCACAUACACACCCUCUCACAUGCACACACACACCGUCUCACAUGCACAUACACACCCUCUCACAUGCACACACACCCUCUCUCACAUGCACACACACCUGUCUCAGAUGCACACACACACCCUGUCUCACAUGCACACACACACCCUCUCUGUCUCACAUGCACACACACACCCUCUCUGUCUCACAUGCACACACACACCCUCUUUUUCUCUGUCUCAAAUGCACACACACACCCUCUGUCGGUCUCACAUGCACACACACACCCUCUGUCUCACAUGCACACACACACCCUUUCUCUGUCUAACAUGCACACACACACACCCUCUGUCUGUCUCACAUGCACACACACACCCUGUCUCACAUGCACACACACACCCUUUGUCUCACAUGCACACACACACACCCCCUCUGUCUCACAUGCACACACACACCCUCUCUCACAUGCACACACACACCCUCUCUCACAUGCACACACACACCCUCUUUUUCUCUGUCUCACAUGCACACACACACCCUCUCUCUGUCUCACAUGCACACACACACCCUCUGUCGGUCUCACAUGCACACACACACCCUCUGUCUCACAUGCACACACACACCCUCUCUCUCACAUGCACACACAAACCCUGUCUCACGUGCGCACACACACACCGUCUCACAUGCACAUACACACCCUCUCACAUGCACACACACACCCUCUCUCUCUCACAUGCACACACACCUCUGUCUCAGAUGCACACACACACCCUGUCUCACAUGCACACACACACCCUGUCUCACAUGCACACACACACCCUCUGUCUCACAUGCACACACACACCCUCUCUCACAUGCACACACACACCCUCUCUGUCUCACAUGCACACACACCUCUGUCUCAGAUGCACACACACACCCGUCUCACAUGCACACACACACCGUCUCACAUGCACACACACACCCUCUGUCUCACAUGCACACACACACCCUCUCUCACAUGCACACACACACACCCUCUCUCACAUGCACACACACACCCUCUCUGUCUCACAUGCACACACACACCCUCUGUCUCACAUGCACACACACACCCUCUCUGUCUCUGUCUCACAUGCACACACACUCUGUCUCACAUGCACACACACACCCUCUGUCUCACAUGCACACACACACCCUCUGUCGGUCUCACAUGCACACACACACCCUCUCUGUCUCACAUGCACACACACACCCUCGUCUGUCUCACAUGCACACACACUCUGUCUCACAUGCACACACACACCUUCUCUGUCUCAUAUGCACACACACACCCUCUCUCUCUGUCUCACAUGCACACACACACCCUUCUCUGUCUCACAUGCACACACACACCGUCUCACAUGUACACACACACCCUCUCUGUCUCACAUGCACACACACACCCUCUGUCUCACAUGCACACACAUACCCUCUGUCUCACAUGCACACACACACCCUGUCUCACAUGCACACACACCCUCUCUGUCUCACAUGCACACACACCCUCUGUCUCUCUCUCUCACAUGCACACACACACCCUCUCUCUGUCUCACAUGCACACACACAUACACACACAGACACAC